GAACGGGGAGAAAAAGAAAAAAACGAAAAAUAGUCGUUCCAUGAUAGAAGUAGUCAAAGUAUGGUAUAUUGUAAUAGGUUGCGGUAAUAGGAACUCGGUGUGUAUUUCGCGUGGCGAGACGAUCCGAGCUACAGAGAGACCUUGACCAGAGUCUGGUUAAGUUGCGUUUGAACGGUGUUUGCGGCGUAAGUUAUUCCUUUCACUUCUCGCUGUGGAACCGGUCUGUAGGUCUAGCGCCAGACAGUCGCUAGACAAAUUCUAGACGGUUGUUAGACAACGCUCGGAUACGCUAGACGCGAUAGCCUCGUUCGUUCUACUGACUGACUCCGUACGUAUAUCUGGAAUACAAGGUUAUCGAAACCAAGUUCGAGGCGAGGAACUUUUAACGCCAAGUCAUCGAGCGAUAUAAUACGUGAUUACCGGGGAUCCGGCUACGUCGUAUAACGUAUACGUACACUUAAGAUUUGAGAGCUUCUUCGAGCUUCUUCGGUGGUGAGGAGAAGGGACAAUGGAAAAGAUGAGGACGAAACUCUACGGCACCGGCAGGAUCAGAAUAAGAAUACGAAUGAGAAUAAGAAUAGAGAUGAGGAUCAGGAUUGAAAUGGAACUUAAAUGUCGGAUGACUGUCGCCCGGACUUUAAGCAUGAGUAUAUAGAGGAAGGUAUACGCAUUAACUACCUUUACAUAAGUUACACACAUACUCGAUCACACGUGUUGGAUUUGGAAGCAUCGAAUGUGCCUCCGGUUUCUAAAUAUUUUUUACAGAUCGUCGAUGGGCAAUUUCCCGUUGCAAUCGAUGCACUCGAUCGAUUUUCGUUAUAAUUUGCCAAUUUUUUUUGGAACUCUAACAAUUUAUCGCAAAUUACGAGUUACACCGCCGCUCUCUUCUUGGCUCGUAUGAUUUUCUCCUCUUACGUCGAUAACAACAAUAAUCAUUAAAAUUAUAAUACAAUUAUUCUACGUCGCCAGCUCUCACCUGCGCUGUUUUAUGAAACGAUAUGCACCUGCCGCUGAUGCGGAGAUAAUAAUUAAAUAUGAUUAUUGUCGCGUAAUAAUUUUGGCUGAUUUUCUUCCCACUUUAUUUUCUUCUAUGUUUUUUUUUUUUUUUCUCUCCUUCUUUUUCCGCCGACACUCCGUCGAAAAUGUACACAAAAUUUUACAUCCGCACGGACGAGAAAAAAAAAAAAAAAAAAAAAAACACAGAGCGAAUUUCGUGCGACUCAAAGUUUUUCAUCGCAUCACAGGGAAGUGCACCACCGGCUAAAAUGCAUAAUGACGUCUAUGCUACGCGCAUAUAUUGUUCAAUACUCAUAUACGUCGGUGCGGAGGUAGGCAGCUGAGUGUAGUUUUUGGGUUUUGACUUUCUAAUAUCGCAUGUCAUAACGGAGACGAAAAUGUCUCUCGCGUUGCGUAGCGACGUCGCGCGUAGCGUCUUCUCGCUCGAUUGUAACGUGCGAAGCAAAAUUUUUGAAGAAAUUUCUCACGCAUUUCCACGUCAUUAGGAUGUUCCCCCGGCGUGUACACACGUCACGUGUAUAUUUAUAAAACGUAAAUGGUACGCGCGUAUGUGUUGAACCCCGUUUCAGUGGGAAUCUAAAGCUCCGCAAUUGUGGCUGAAACCCCGUCGCUCCAAGACAGAUGGUCGGUGUCGCUCUUCUUCCCUUGAAAUGAGAGAGCUACGAACCUAUACAUACACGUACACGUAGCUAUAUAUCCCCGUGUAUACGUAACGUUAACCCAUAUUUCAUUAUUUCCGUAAGUAGAGCAACAACGGAAUUUCUCCGCUGUACUAACUUCUGCAACGCCAAAUCUGACGGCGCCAAAUGAAGAAAAAAAAAAAAUAUAUAUAUAUAUGACAAACAGGAAACGAAACAACGGAAUGAAGAGAGACACAGAUGUUUCGUUUCGAUGCGUCUGGCCAGGACUAGCCGCAAUGCAAAUAGCGGAAAGAAAAAAUUAGGAUGGAAAAAAAAGAACCGAGCGAAACGAGAGGGAGACAAAAAGCGAGAGAUGCAACUCUCACGAUGGCGGGUUCGAACGUCGUUCGAAUCGAACAUACCCCGACGCAAGCAGAAAUCAGAGGAUUUGGGAUCGAUCUUCGAAUACUUUGCGAAAAUUCAUCGCACCCUGCAAAUACGGUAUCCAUUUUAUUAAUAACGUCGUUACGAUUUUUCGUAUCUUCUUUUUCUUCUUCUCUUCUUAUUUGAGAGUCACUGUUAUUAAGGAGCUGCACAGCUGGCAGCAUCAUCUGCCUUGCAUCAUUUCUGCCAUCGUUAUAUAUACACUUUGGUACAGUUCGAUCAGAGAAUUAAACGAAAUGAACGUGGGUGGCUGAUAAAAAUUGCUAUCUUUGCGGGGAGAAAAUUUUCGCAUCCUAUUUUCGACGUAGAAAAAAUUUCGGCAAUUGGGUGCUGGACGAGAUUUUUUUUUUUUUAUAAAAAAAAAAAACAAGGUUCAAAAAAAGACGUCGCUAGGGUUGAAUGAAUAAUUAUUUUAAACGGGGUGGUUAUUUAUGUAUAUCGUUCGUAAAUGAACAUUGAAUAUUCAGAACGUGGUAUACGUGCACUAUGUGCGGUACAAACGCAAAGUCGUAAUACACAUAAUGCUCGAAACUGUGCGGCCGCGUGUACGGAAUGUAAAUUAUUUUUUUUUCAAAAUCCUCAUCGUGUACAUGGACACGGAAAAUAGUGGGUAUUAUGUACUAUACCUAUCCAGCGCGAUUGUUUUCCCAUAACGAAUUUUUUAUUUCCAUACAAAUAUGAAUAAGCAAUUUAUCUUUCAUUUAUAACUCCAUAGUCGCGUUCAUUCCAGUUUUAUGCACGAACGCAGUUCGCAACGAUGUACAUAAAUUUGGAAUUGAAACUCUGCUCGCCUUUGAUUGUUUUAUUUUAUUUUAUUUCAUUUUUUUUUUCUCGUUAUACCCGAAAUAUUUUACACUAAAUAAAUCAUAAAAAUAUUUUUUUCUUUUCUCGCGACGUCGUUUUUUUUUUUUUUUUCUUUUCUUCAUUCUAUAACUUCAAUUUUUCACUCUUUAUUUUCGAAUAAUAUUAGAAUCAAAGAAAGGAGAGAGAAGACUGCAGUCGAAUUUAAAAAUUUGUCGAUCAACAUCGUAGUUUUUCUUUACGUCAUUGUAAUAUAGUGAAAGCGAGAAAUCGAUAUUCAUUUAUACGUACGAAAAUGAUCGUCGGAUUUGUGGGUAAAUGCAAAUUGUAAUAAAUAUAUAUUUGCUUACGGUAACAUACAUAUUCUAUGCACAUACGACAUAUGUGCACCUGAUGAUUGUGAACAUAAUGGAAAAAAAAAAAAAAAAAUCAUACAUAUCAAAUCAAAUAAAAUACAAAAACAGACAAAUGUAAGAAGCAGGUAUUUGCGCGCAAAAUUUAUUUCGAAACACAUGUACACGUUAUAUGAUAAUAGUGAUUCCCGCGUAAUUCGUCAAGCAAACGGAAGUUGCAUCGCUAAUUUAUAAAACUUUUUCUCUUUUCAUUUCGGCUUUCAUUUUUAACGAGGGAGGUCAACAGAUUUAAAUACAAUCAAUCCCAAUUUAACAUUAGAUCAACGCGCGUACGAAUUCUUUUACAAUUCCUUUUUUUAUUUUCUUCAUUUCUUGCCCCUCCCCCCCUCGAUCUUUUCGAUGUCAGGAGUAACUUUCCAAAUGAUCGAAUAAUUGAUGACACUUCUUUUUUUUCUUUAAUUGUUUUAUUUGAUUUUAUUUCCCAUUUUUUAAACAUACUUUUUGACUUUUCGGUAUAGGAGACGCAUUUUUUUUUUUUCGUAUGCAAAAAAGAAAAUUAAAUAAAAUGAAAAUCUACGUGUGUAGGUGUAUGCAUAUUUCACACGAGUUAGCGGCACUGCACUCCGAGGAACUUUGCCAAUCUUUUUUCCAUUUUUAUAUAUUUCUUCCGAGCUAUUCGGAUGGGGGUUUAGAUCGCUGUUUUUAAACUCAAGUGUGUAAGAAAAUACCGUCAACGCUUUUUUUAUUGUUAUUUAUAUUGCAAUUGAUUUCUUUCGAGUGUAAAUUGCACUUAUACUGCGUCUCAUACAUCGGGAGUAAUAAAGAAACCAGAAAAACUAUUUAAAACAACCAAAUAUCCAGAGCGAAUUGAGAGUUCCAGUUAAUGGCAGUAAGCCAAUAGAAAAUGCGUUCGGGAAAUUGCGUGUUUCGUCUGUAAGAAAACAUAUUUUAGACUCCAACGCAUUUAGCGAAAAAUCAUCUCAACAUCGCGUCUAAACUCGCUACUUAUCUCGCUGCAGUUGAGACUAUGCGAUACAAAUAGACGCUCUUAUCUUCAAGCUUAAUAAGAAUAAUAACUGAUAAAGAAUUACUGGAACUACAUACUUUCAUCUUAUUCUUUUUUCUCAUUUUUCUUUUUUAUUCUUUCUUAUCUCUCUCUCUAAUUCGCUCGUUCGUUGAGUAUACGUUACACGGAUACCGAUCGAAGCGUGCGAAAGAUGAGAGAAUUUUUUUUCUUUUUUUCUUUUCAUCUCUUCUCUUUUGAUUUUUCAAUAUGCGCUGGAUUAUUCGACUCGCUCUUUUUCUCGCAAGAUGAGAAGCGGCAAAUAAUAAUCGCGAGCGUGUAAACUCGAAUCGUACCUGCACUAUUUUGUGUACCUUGCACAUACCUCGCGCUCCAAUUAUUCCCGUUGCACCGCGGCGCGUGCAAAAUUUUUUGGAAAAAAAAUUUUCCAAUGUUUAUCGUACGCGUGUCAACGUCCUCUGCGUUUUGAAUGGUGCCUCGAAAAUACAUAUUUCUUUAGCUCCAUAGCGUGUACAGAGUGGACGUGUGUCAAAGAAUUUGACACGCACCCGUCAAAAGUGCAGUUGAAUAAAUUGAAUCGAUCAAUAAUUUUUGAGUGGCGAGGGGCCCACCGGGGGGGAGAAUCGACGCUAAAUGUGAAAGAGAAUUAUCAAAAUUUUAUGAUAUCGAACGACAACAUAAUCGCGCGAUUCUUUCGAUUGGAUUAUAUAAAAUGUCACGCAAAUUUCGUCGUCCACAUUCUGCUCGAUCGAAGUAGCUGAGAUUCUAUCCAAUACGGGGGUAGCUAUAUUUGACAUCGGUUGACAGAUAUUUUCACGAUAAUCGAAGGGAACCAAAAAAACACAUUAAUAAAUCAACGAAUUGGAUAAAUUUUUUUAUGGCCACCGUCGAUCGGGCGCAGUAUGAAAUUUUCCCCUCUUUCGAACAUCGGUAUUUUCAGAAUCGGUGAAAACCCGGAAAAGGAAAAACGUAAAAAAUGAAAAAUUGUUUUUUCGCAUUUCGGAUUCGGAUGGGCGAAGAUCGGCGAGCUCGUCCGGUGGGUUUAACCCGAAUCGUUGCGAAGCUCGCGUGUGCAAGCUACGUGGGUAUAUCUAAUAUUAUAUAUUUGUAUCGGUCGGAAUUGAGAAUCGGGAAUUGAGCACACACUGCACCGAAACGGCAACAGCAGCGGCAGAGGCAGAGGCAGAGGUAGUAGAACGGUCUAAGGCAAUUGCAGCAGCAGCAGCAGCAGCAGCAGCAGCGGCGAACUCGUCGUGUUGGGCGUCGGGGUUAAUGUACCCGGUCAGCCUUGGCAUGGAUCGAGUCUAGCAAUGCGAAAGUCAGGUUAGCAUGUAUAUAGCGGCGGUGAGACUAGAGGGAACAAGACCGUUAAUGUUAUCCAAUGAGUUAAAGGAGGAAGGAAAUACAUGCAAUUCUGCAUCGCUGCGUUUUAACCGGGCUGCAGGCGAGCCGGAGCGCGAGCGAGUCGGAAGCAUCGAGUCGGAGGGAGAUGAAAUACCGAGGAAAGAGAAAACGACACUUCGUACGUUCGAGAUAGUAAGAGAUGAUGAUAAACACCGGGGUGGGGGCCACGUGUAACUUUUGAAAAAAACCAAGCUGCUAUAAGACCAGGCGCGGGCCCCCUUCCGCCGCCACUGUGCAAUGCAUAGAGAACUUGCCAGUUUAUCUAUACUUCAAACGUCUAGUGCUGCAGUUCUACGAUUCUUCGCCGACAACGACGACGACAACGACGAAAAGAAAGAAAAAAAAAAGCCAAAAAAGAACAAAUUUAAACAAUCCAAACAAAAAAAAAAAACAACCAAACCAACCGAAAAAUCGUCGCGUUCUAAAAAAUCGACGGAAAACCGAAGAAGAGAAACAAAAAAUACUUAAAUUAUACAAUUAAAUCGAUUACACAACGACGCGUACUCUUCUCAUUUCCCUACCGUCAAAAGUCGAGCGAAAUUGAUUUUAUCUUAAAAAUUUUCUUCUUUUUUGUUUUUUCCCUUCUGGGAGGGGAGGGGAGUUUUAAAAUUGGCGAAUAUUUUGUGGCUAGGGACCGUCCCGACAGGACGACGGUGCGGGGUGCGGUUGACUUUGGCAUAUGUACAUGUAUUAUAUUGCACACGUUGGUACGCGAUGCGACGCGAUGCGCCGAAUAGAGACGGGAUAAACGAAAUAUAUUAUGUACACAUAUAUAUAUAUAUACAUAUGUAUAUUAUGUACAAGUGUAUAAGUACGGAGGCAUGCAUGCAUCUGUCCUACUUACGAAAUUCUAUAUGGUAAGCUUUGCGUGUCGAGAAUUGCAGCGAAAUUAUUUCGUAUAACUAUAGAAAACCCGGCUCAAACUGCAUCUACACAUACGAGAAACGAUUCUGCAACGACUCGAGAUGCGUACGUGGUGUACACACGCGCGCACACACACACACGUAGUACCUUAGUACGUGCAUAAUAAUAUUAAGAAUAUGUGCAACGUCGGGAAUGUAACGUAAAAUAUUAAAACACUCGGCCUAUCGUUCGUUUUUAUACGUCUUUAAAAAAAUGGGAAAAAAGAAGGGAAUGAGAGAAAAACGAAUUACAUCGCUCACACGUAUAAUUGAGAGUGGCAAUAGUUACACGGACACGAGUCGUACGAUUUGAACGUGUCCGUUGAUGAUUUUUUCUUCAAUUCAUUUAUUUAUUACCGUUAUUAUUUUUGCAAAAUAAAAUUAAAAAAAAAAAAACAAAUUUUAACACUUUCACUGCAACUGACGCGCCUCGGACGUGAUUCAUCGAGAAUUUCAUGUGCAAACAAUUGUCUCUCUUUUAUUUUUCAUUUCGUUCAGUCGUUGGUUGUUUUUUUUUGUUGGGAGAAACGAAAAAAAUUUCGCUUCGGAUGCAUCGUUCGUCUAUUUUACGCGUGAAAUGAAAUUGGCAUCUUUUUUUUCAAAAAUUGACGCAGUACAGUUGCGUCGAAUGAUAUUUCUAUUUCCGUUUUACCCUCGUCAUUGUAAACGCCUUUAUUAAAAUUCGCGUACAUUACGUUAUCAAAAUUCAGUGGGCGGUGUAUAAAAUGAAUCUAUAAAAGCUGAAAAAAGUGCAAAUAUCCUGCUGCCGAUUGAGGUCUAAUUAUGAAAGGCGUAUGAAAAUAAUCAGUGCAAUAUAAGUGUUAUGCGGUUGAUGACCGCACCUAAAAACCACGUCCAUGCGAGGAUUAAAAAUUCGGUCCGUAGAAAUAUUUUUUUUUUCCACCUUUGAUUCCGAAGCGAAUGUAACACCGCGCCCCUGAUACCAAUUACAUUAUUCGACGAAUGAGAAUAAAAAAUCGCGUCGAACGAAAUCGGAAACUUCUGCGUCCCUUGCUUUUGAAUCUAAAAAAUUCGACACCGUUCGGAGAAUUUUUUAUGAAAAACUAAAAACUGAACGAUAGGGAUGCACAUCCGUGACGUUCGUCCGUUCGUUUUCUGAUUUUGUGUUUGGUGCUUUUUUCUAUUUUUUUUUUUUUAGUUUUUGCAUAAUAGUAAAAAGCGUAAAAUCUAGGCUGCAGAUGUAAAAAAGUAUUUCAACGUACAGUGUACGCAGCGCAUCGCGGAAUCGAACAAAGAGAAUGGCGUGGUCCGAGUUUGAUCAGUGGAACGAGCUUUCCAGCUGCGGUACUCGAUACUUUUGAUUUACUUGAUUUUUUUUUUUUUUUUUUUUUUUAUCCCCGUUUCCAUCGCGUUUUUUCGCAUCGCAAUUUUUCGAUUUUCCUAUUACACCUGAACAUUAUACGUCUCUCGAUAAUGAAAUCAUCGCAACUCCGGUUCGACCGGACUUUUUCGAUUCUAUUUGAGAUUUUGGUUUUUCGUGCAAAAAAGUUUUCUCUCUUUUUCUCCAUUGAAAUUAAUUGUGAAAAGUUUUAAAGUGUGGCUUGUAGGUAUAUUUCGUGUCUGCAGUUCGUUAGGAAUCGGAAAACCUUGUAUAGCUUUAUUCCUCGAGGAGAGUUACCUACGUGUAUAUCCGGUUCCGUUAAAAGUUUACUUCAGAGAUAUAUGAAACUACGUGAAACGUGAGUCUUGAAAUAAGAAGAUUGAAAUUCUAAGCUCGGUGUAAUACAGUAGGAGUGUUGAAAAUCGACAAAUUAAAUGUUGAGAGGAAACUUAAGCUGUCGCAAAUUUUCACCGUUGAAGUGUGAGAGAAAAAAAGGAGUGAGGAACGAGUGAAAAGAACAAAACAAGUGAUUCGAUUGGUUGGAAAAUAUUUGUGAAAUGUGCGCGAACCGUAACGCGGCGGCAUAAAAUACAAGAAAUUGGGAAAAGAAGAAGAGAGAUGUUAAAAAUCAUUCGGAAAUCGGAGUGUCUACUUUUGGAGAGAAAACGAUGAACUCGUUUUCUUCAGAAUUCUUUAUAAACAUAUUUCGCUCAUUGUCGUCCGCAUGGCGCGCAUUACAAUAAUUGCAAAUAGCUCAAUUGUAGUAAAAUUUGACUGCUGAGGUCGUUAUCCGCAACGUAUAUAUAUACGCACCCGCUGCUUUCGUACUGCACGUCUAUAUUUCGUAUAAAAUUUACAUUUAUUUAAAAUACACUUCGAUUUGUUUGUUAUUCCUAAUGCACCGAACGGCGGCCGUGACCCCCUCGUAAUAUACGGUUAAAGUUUAAAAACCUCAUCUCAACGACAAAUAAAAUAAAGAAAAAUUUCUGUUUUCAGGAUAUAUAAAAAUAUACCGUAAUAAAUUGACAUAUUAUAAUAUAAUAUUUAAUCGUCAUUCGAAACCUCGCCGAUAUGCACCCGAGACCAUCGUAUAAACGCCAUUGAUUAAAAAAACUUGUUUUUUUCAUCGGAUGCGAAAUUAUACACUACGGUGACUCGUUCUUAUCCAAUUCAAAAAUUAUUCUUUUCGAAUUGAGAAAAAAAAAAAACACCUUUCUACAGAUUUUUGUUUUUCAAUAAAUAUUCUCAAUAAUCCAUACUUCAAAUCUCACGAACGAACGGAGUGAUAACGUGAACUAUACUUUGAUAUUUAACUAAUUUGAACUUUUAUUUUCUGUGCCUGAAAAAAACGAAGUACGUGGAGUAGAAAAAUCUAUUCUCAUUUCUAUUUCGGUUUCUUGGAUCGGCGACAAAAAAUUCAUGUCAAUAAUUCUGCUGCACGGGGUGUAUUUUCAAUUUUUCAUUCUCGAUUUUUCAUACGCCCAAGGACACGUGUGUGGUAAGAUUGGAACAGAGCAGACGUUGUUCAUUAUAUUAUAGUCGUACUGAAUAGAAAUCGGAGUGGCAGCACGUUAUUGCAUUAUUUAGUCGCUUCGGUUAAGCGGCUCUUUCGGAUCACCACCACUUAACACGUCCGUGGACAAACGUGCUUUGAAAAAAAAAAUUAAAAAAAAAGCGACGAAAAAAAAAACAACCAGAAAAAGACCGUCAUUGGCUCUCGUGUUGACAUUUCAACCCUCGUAUUUUCAUUGCGCGCUAAAAAAUUUUUUAACACCACGAAUAUCGUCGACCGUAUCUCUAGACCACGAGCUUGCACACACGAGUGCACGAGUUUCACGUACGGUGAGAAAUUCCUGAUGGACAAAAUUUACAGAGCACCGCAGUUCGGAAGAAAUAUCCUAAUGCGUCUUUGUCCCGAUGCGAGAAACUUCUCCUCCCUCUUCUUCUCCGUCUUCUUCUCGUCUUCUUCUUACCGAUCUUCGGGGCUUAGCUUACUUUUCUGUUUAGAGAAAGUCAAACACUGCGUGGGCCCGAAGGACGCGACAAAUUUGCAUCUCUUCUCCGACGAAAAUGCAUGGAUGGAAGACAGAAGAGAAAAAACAAAAAAAAAAAAAAGGAAAAAGGAAAAAGAAGUAAAGUAGAAGAGGAAACAUCUCCGACGCGACGAUUCGUUAUUCUCCUCACGAAUUUACUGCACCUCUCUCACCUAUCCGUGCAUACCUCGUCGUACAAUGAAAUUUCAAUAUUUUCCUGCGUUCGUUUUAGAACACUCGAUCGUAAUUUUUUUUCUCUUUUUAGUUUUCAAUUUCGCGCGGUGCUCAAUGAAGAAUCUCGCUACCCGUUCGUGAGUGGCUGUGACGAGGACGUCACUUUUCUCGCUAGAGUUUAAUGAAAAAUUAACGAUUUUAAAAGCAGGUGAUUGUUUUUUUUUUUUUUUUUUUGAUCAAUUCACAGAUCUACGCAGCUCGUUUAAUUUUCAUCCGUGCAGUACCUACGGGUUGAUGACUCGAUUAUAAUAGUUGGUUAUUUUCUGUAAUUAACAUUCGAAAGACAGCCGAUGCACACGAUGGGGCGAUACGGUUCGGAGUUGCGGAGAGGACAUCGACCCUGCACCCGCCAGUUUGGACUACCGAAAACUGCACGUUAUACAUAUAAUGUAACAUACAUACGUAUACGCGUAGGUACAUACAGGUGUACAUAUAUAUGUAUAUCUCUAUGUACGUAUGUACGGUGAGUGAGUAUAUUACAGCGUUAAAUGCGAAUACAGCAACAAUAGCUGACUUCCAAACAAGUAUGAUAAUGCAAGUUAUAUUAACGUACGAAGCUCGUGUUGUAUUAUAGUGACAGCCCCGAACGAUGCAGCGUACGGGGUGUUCCGCGUACGUCGACUAGCCUAUUUUUUCAUUCCAUCGAUGGUUUUUUUUUUUAUUUAAAAUUCCCCUCUUCGAAACGGCUGGUGAGAUAGAUUAGCUAAUUGUCAUGACCUGCAAUCCUUUUUUUUGGUUUCAAAAAAUCCUCACCUGCCAUUAGUAAUUGAAUCGUUUUUGAGCGAACGUAAAAUAAAGAAAUAAAAAGAGCGAUUUUCCGAGCUUUUUCGUUGCUGCACUCAGUGAUAUUAGAUGUGCAUGUUUACAGCUUGUUUCCGGCAUAAUUAUCAGAGUGAAACUCGUUUAUUGGAGAGAUAAGAUGUACGCCGUCCUGUUGCACCGUACAUUAAACGUUGAAGUACUAAAUCUGCACUUUUUUUUCGCCGCGAAAAAAAAAAAGGAAAAAAAAAAAACAAUUCCCCGUUACAAAUCGUUGCACUUAAUAACGAACAAUUUAAUCACGUCAAAUUACACAUUGCGUAUACGCGCAGUAAUUUUUUAUUCAUUCAUUUAUUUGUUAUUUUUUAUUUUUUUUUCUUUUUUUUCUCGUUCUCACCGCAGAAUAAUCGAUGCAACUGCAACGAGAGAAAGAAAGAAAAAUGAAAAAAAAAGACCCUCUCGAUUCGAACAACCAUAUUCGUAUUUGCGUACGUGCAUAUAUGGGUGAAAAUUGUUCUGAUUCUCUGCACUUUUUUCGGAACAACUCGUUCGUUUUUUAUUUUUUCUCCGCUACACCCACCCUUCGGCGUAGGUGGUGUAGAAAUAUGUACGAGGGUUGUUGCGAGCCCCGCAAAAUAGCCGUGUAGCAUGUGAAUUGAUAUCUGUGUCUAUAUAUAGCCGUAUAGAUCGGGACAAAGAGUGAUAUAAGGUAUACAAGAAAACGCUUUGAUACGCAACCAUUUUACGCACCCUUGCAGAUCUAUUUUACCGCACCACCGAACACUUGUAAAAAAAAAAAAAGGAAAGAAAAGAAACGAAAAGAAGAGAAAAGGAGAGAAAAAAAAAUAUAUUUUUUACCCGUAUCAUUCGUUGUACGUGAAAUACCGUAGUGAGCGUACAUGCAAAAUUCAAGCUGUAGAAAUGAAUAAAUUGAAGAAAAAAAAAAUAGGGAAAAAUGAAGCAGAUCCGUCGACGUUAGCGUGAGUCUUUUUUGUAGAAAAUUUCAUACGUCAAGUGGCAUUAUUUCUUUUUUCUCGCUAGAAGAUUCUAGAGGAAUGGAAAUAUGUGACGAGCUCUAGAUAACGAGGCGAAGCAUAUAACGGAUGAAAACGAUCGAAGAUAUCCUCCCGACGCUUAUUAAGGGCGAGACGAACCGAAACCGCAGAAUUUCUGUAUUGGACCGCGAACGAACGGGAACGAAUUUAAUAAAGGGAAAGACGACAGGAGAUUUCUUUGUACCGAAAACGGAUUGAGAAUAAAAGGAACGAAGAGAGAAUGGAUUCUUUUGUCACGAGUACAUCGGAGACGCCAAUCCAUCUCGUAACAUCCGCGCGUGUGCGUGUACCGUCCUGUGUGCGUAAUUUUAUUCUUCCGCAAAUAUGGAUAGGUCUGACUCACACUCGCGGUCUAAUCGUCCGUUCAACGCGAACCACGUAACGUACGGAUCGUUGAAUUUUUAAUCCCCCGUCGAUCGUUUCGUCCAAUUAUAUUAUCGCCCCGAAAUCUCGUCGAACUCGGAUCGGAAAUAUCGGAAGGAAAUUUUUUUUCGCGCGACGAAUAAUUUUUUAUACCGUACGUCGCGUCACCCGGAUCGCGAUUGUCGAGGAUUCGAAACCACGAACGUUCAAAGGUCGCCGGGAGGAAUCGCGACGUAAUCCUCGGCAGUUAGUUCGCUGAAUUUCUAUAUAAAGCAGGUCGAAGUAGCGCACACCGCGCUCCCAUUUGCUACGUACGGUACACGGUUCUAUACGUAGGUAGAUGAAGCUGCGACGUUUGUUCGCGAAUUUAAUUUGCCAAUUCAGCCCGACGUCCAUCCAUUUCCAGUUUUCCCGCAUAUGACGGAUAAAUUUUGCGGAUUCAGCGAGUAACCGAGACGAUUUUGCCGCGUCUCGUCGGACCUCAGCUGGUAGAAUUUUCUUUCACUCUCAAUUAGAACUGGUUUCGUUCGGCGUUUCUGCAAAACGGGGAAAGAAAAAAAGGUGCGAAAGUUUUCGCGGCUGAACACCGGUUGACGUUUCCUACACGUGCGGAAAAUUCGCACGUUCCUUAUACCCGUUUUACGAGCAACAUCGGAACGCGUCGAAUUUACUGCCCAGUUAGAUUUCGAUAUCGGAUAAAGCUCGGGCUCCCCCUCCUUUAUUUCAGUCCACGUUCAUCCCCGCGAAUUUAAUCCUCUGACACGGAAUAACCUGCGAAGGUAACGCUGAGCGGGGUAAGUUUGGAAUCUGGUGUCUAGUAGGACAUCAAAUUCGAACAAUCGAAAUUCGCGUGUCGGACACCAAGGAGUUUUUUUCAAAAUCGCACAAUUGAUUUUGUUUUUUAUUUCAUCUCCCUUCUUUCUUAUACGGUGGGGACGGUAUCCCGCGGCUGAGGAAGUUGCGCGGCGUCGAAAGCUCCACAUUUGAUCCAAGCUGUUAUUUACACAAGCGCGGUUCUGCGCCGCGAGCUUUGGGACCCUGCGGGCUGAAGAUCCGGCGAAGGGUGCGACCGACAGUGAAGUAUUUAAUAGCUGCUGCGACUGACUCGACCCUCGCGAAGUAGGUAGGUACGUCGAGAGAGUGUUACAGAUAUGAUAUAAAUUUUGGGGGAGCAAGAAAAAAUAAAAAAAAGCGCGCACAAAAACGAAAGAAACGAGAGAAAGAGUGUUUGAUUUCUUUCGCGGCUUCGGGAAAUGAAGUUUUUUUUUUUUUUUUCGUCUGUCUCUUUUCGUUUUUUCUCGCCUCGCACCAAAAAAUGAUCCAUACGUGAUGGCGAAGUAAAGUACGCGGGGGUUGUUCGACCGUAUAAAUUGAAUUUUUAUCAAUUGAAAUUCAAAACGCAAUUCCUACGGGUUAUAUAACGCUGAUCACACCGCGUCAACGGAAUAGAAAUUUCGCAAAAGUCGCCGUGCCGGGGUGUGCACCAUGUAUGAAUAUGACUUCCCAUGUACUCCUUAUGUACACCGUGUACGGUGAAAAGGUGCAGCCGGUAUAUAAAACAUGUGAAAUGUUUUUGGGGAUUUUGAAAAUCAGUACCCUUUCGUCGUCAACGAGUGAACGGUGUUGAAUCUUUUCUCCCUUUCCCGCCCUUCCUUACUCCGAUUCUUCCUUUUUCUUUUUUUUUUUCUCUUCUAUAUUCCGUACGACGUUCGAACGCCCAAAGGGGCGAAAGGAUUCCGCUAAGAGAGGGUUGGACGCGGAUCCGUAACACCGUGGAAAUAACUUCCAGGGAAUUCUAUAUUUUUUUCGUUUUUUCUUUGCUUUUUCAUUUCUUAUAAAAAGCAGCACUUUCUCACUCUUCGGCGGAGUUCUCGUCGUCUUUGUAUGAGUCGUCGGAAAAAAAAAUGUCUCGGUAUCAGAAAUAUAAUUUCUCCGAAGAUCCGUCUCUCGAUUGUCCGGAUUCGAGAAAUCUGAGGGAAACUGUCAUCGAAAAGAGAGGUGGAAAAAUUUCCCAUUACACUGAGAAGAGAAAAUACGAAUCCCUCAAAAGUUAAAAAUCACAAAAAAAAAUGGACAGCCGAGCGUGUAACUGCGUCUCGUUCCUGCCACGAUAAUGAUAAAAAUAAUGAUAAUCCUAAUUAUGUUAACGGAAACGAAAAAAGACGAAUUUCUACUUACGUACACACGUACGGUAUACAUUUCGCUAACGAGCUAUGUAUUGAGAUUAUAUACGUUAAAUUAAAAUUAGGUCAGUAUCCGACGACAAAA